GGUUAAGCGACUAAGCGUACACGGUGGAUGCCCUGGCAGUCAGAGGCGAUGAAGGACGUGCUAAUCUGCGAUAAGCGUCGGUAAGGUGAUAUGAACCGUUAUAACCGGCGAUUUCCGAAUGGGGAAACCCAGUGUGUUUCGACACACUAUCAUUAACUGAAUCCAUAGGUUAAUGAGGCGAACCGGGGAACUGAAACAUCUAAGUACCCCGAGGAAAAGAAAUCAACCGAGAUUCCCCCAGUAGCGGCGAGCGAACGGGGAGGAGCCCAGAGCCUGAAUCAGUGUGUGUGUUAGUGGAAGCGUCUGGAAAGGCGCGCGAUACAGGGUGACAGCCCCGUACACAAAAAUACACAUAUUGUGAGCUCGAUGAGUAGGGCGGGACACGUGGUAUCCUGUCUGAAUAUGGGGGGCCCAUCCUCCAAGGCUAAAUACUCCUGACUGACCGAUAGUGAACCAGUACCGUGAGGGAAAGGCGAAAAGAACCCCGGCGAGGGGAGUGAAAAAGAACCUGAAACCGUGUACGUACAAGCAGUGGGAGCACGCUUAGGCGUGUGACUGCGUACCUUUUGUAUAAUGGGUCAGCGACUUAUAUUCUGUAGCAAGGUUAACCGAAUAGGGGAGCCGAAGGGAAACCGAGUCUUAACUGGGCGUUAAGUUGCAGGGUAUAGACCCGAAACCCGGUGAUCUCAGCCAUGGGCAGGUUGAAGGUUGGGUAACACUAACUGGAGGACCGAACCGACUAAUGUUGAAAAAUUAGCGGAUGACUUGUGGCUGGGGGUGAAAGGCCAAUCAAACCGGGAGAUAGCUGGUUCUCCCCGAAAGCUAUUUAGGUAGCGCCUCGUGAAUUCAUCUCCGGGGUAGAGCACUGUUUCGGCAAGGGGUCAUCCCGACUUACCAACCCGAUGCAAACUGCGAAUACCGGAGAAUGUUAUCACGGGAGACACACGGCGGGUGCUAACGUCCGUCGUGAAGAGGGAAACAACCCAGACCGCCAGCUAAGGUCCCAAAGUCAUGGUUAAGUGGGAAACGAUGUGGGAAGGCCCAGACAGCCAGGAUGUUGGCUUAGAAGCAGCCAUCAUUUAAAGAAAGCGUAAUAGCUCACUGGUCGAGUCGGCCUGCGCGGAAGAUGUAACGGGGCUAAACCAUGCACCGAAGCUGCGGCAGCGACGCUUAUGCGUUGUUGGGUAGGGGAGCGUUCUGUAAGCCUGCGAAGGUGUGCUGUGAGGCAUGCUGGAGGUAUCAGAAGUGCGAAUGCUGACAUAAGUAACGAUAAAGCGGGUGAAAAGCCCGCUCGCCGGAAGACCAAGGGUUCCUGUCCAACGUUAAUCGGGGCAGGGUGAGUCGACCCCUAAGGCGAGGCCGAAAGGCGUAGUCGAUGGGAAACAGGUUAAUAUUCCUGUACUUGGUGUUACUGCGAAGGGGGGACGGAGAAGGCUAUGUUGGCCGGGCGACGGUUGUCCCGGUUUAAGCGUGUAGGCUGGUUUUCCAGGCAAAUCCGGAAAAUCAAGGCUGAGGCGUGAUGACGAGGCACUACGGUGCUGAAGCAACAAAUGCCCUGCUUCCAGGAAAAGCCUCUAAGCAUCAGGUAACAUCAAAUCGUACCCCAAACCGACACAGGUGGUCAGGUAGAGAAUACCAAGGCGCUUGAGAGAACUCGGGUGAAGGAACUAGGCAAAAUGGUGCCGUAACUUCGGGAGAAGGCACGCUGAUAUGUAGGUGAAGUCCCUUGCGGAUGGAGCUGAAAUCAGUCGAAGAUACCAGCUGGCUGCAACUGUUUAUUAAAAACACAGCACUGUGCAAACACGAAAGUGGACGUAUACGGUGUGACGCCUGCCCGGUGCCGGAAGGUUAAUUGAUGGGGUCAGCGCAAGCGAAGCUCUUGAUCGAAGCCCCGGUAAACGGCGGCCGUAACUAUAACGGUCCUAAGGUAGCGAAAUUCCUUGUCGGGUAAGUUCCGACCUGCACGAAUGGCGUAAUGAUGGCCAGGCUGUCUCCACCCGAGACUCAGUGAAAUUGAACUCGCUGUGAAGAUGCAGUGUACCCGCGGCAAGACGGAAAGACCCCGUGAACCUUUACUAUAGCUUGACACUGAACAUUGAGCCUUGAUGUGUAGGAUAGGUGGGAGGCUUUGAAGUGUGGACGCCAGUCUGCAUGGAGCCGGCCUUGAAAUACCACCCUUUAAUGUUUGAUGUUCUAACGUGGACCCGUGAUCCGGGUUGCGGACAGUGUCUGGUGGGUAGUUUGACUGGGGCGGUCUCCUCCUAAAGAGUAACGGAGGAGCACGAAGGUUGGCUAAUCCUGGUCGGACAUCAGGAGGUUAGUGCAAUGGCAUAAGCCAGCUUGACUGCGAGCGUGACGGCGCGAGCAGGUGCGAAAGCAGGUCAUAGUGAUCCGGUGGUUCUGAAUGGAAGGGCCAUCGCUCAACGGAUAAAAGGUACUCCGGGGAUAACAGGCUGAUACCGCCCAAGAGUUCAUAUCGACGGCGGUGUUUGGCACCUCGAUGUCGGCUCAUCACAUCCUGGGGCUGAAGUAGGUCCCAAGGGUAUGGCUGUUCGCCAUUUAAAGUGGUACGCGAGCUGGGUUUAGAACGUCGUGAGACAGUUCGGUCCCUAUCUGCCGUGGGCGCUGGAGAACUGAGGGGGCUGCUCCUAGUACGAGAGGACCGGAGUGGACGCAUCACUGGUGUUCGGGUUGUCAUGCCAAUGGCACUGCCCGGUAGCUAAAUGCGGAAGAGAUAAGUGCUGAAAGCAUCUAAGCACGAAACUUGCCCCGAGAUGAGUUCUCCCUGACCCUUUAAGGGUCCUGAAGGAACGUUGAAGACGACGACGUUGAUAGGCCGGGUGUGUAAGCGCAGCGAUGCGUUGAGCUAACCGGUACUAAUGAACCGUGAGGCUUAACCUU
rnacentral:rRNA from 1 species